AUUGAACGCUGGCGGCAGGCCUAACACAUGCAAGUCGAGCGGAUGAAGGGUGCUUGCUCCUGGAUUCAGCGGCGGACGGGUGAGUAAUGCCUAGGAAUCUGCCUGGUUGUGGGGGAUAACGUGCGGAAACGGGCGCUAAUACCGCAUACGUCCUGAGGGAGAACGUGGGGGAUCUUCGGACCUCACGCUAUCAGAUGAGCCUAGGUCGGAUUAGCUAGUUGGUGGGGUAAAGGCCUACCAAGGCGACGAUCCGUAGCUGGUCUGAGAGGAGGAUCAGCCACACUGGAACUGAGACACGGUCCAGACUCCUACGGGAGGCAGCAGUGGGGAAUAUUGGACAAUGGGCGCAAGCCUGAUCCAGCCAUACGGCGUGGGUGAAGAAGGCCUUCGGGUUGUAAAGCCCUUUUGUUGGGAAAGAAAAGCAGCAGGUUAAUACCCCGCUGUUCUGACGGUACCCAAAGAAUAAGCACCGGCUAACUUCGUG
rnacentral:rRNA from 1 species